UGUCCCUAGGCUGGGCUGAAAAAGAGCUCAGGGUUUCACUUUUAAAACCUCGGCCCUGAUUGGUCAGUCCUGGGAUGAUUGGUCAGCUGGCUCCUAACUGCCCUCAUGUUUCAUGCAUGAACAACGUGAGGGGGCCAAUUUCAACCAGAGCUCUCCUGCUCCGCUGAGCCCUAUGGAGCCUAUGGAGCAGCUGUUUUCCCUAAGUUGGGAGGGCUCCACACUGCAGGGAUGAAGAGCAGAGCAGUGUCUGGAGCGGUGCAGGAAGGGCAGCCCUCGCUGAAUUCCAUCCAACCUUCUCUGGCUGUCCCUGAAGAGCUUCUUUUAUGCCUGGCCUGAAAGAACCAAGUCUGAUGGGUAUGGGACAAGAGGGAUCAGAAACCUCUUCUUUCACUAUAAUCCUCCUUCCUGUGUGUCCCUGUGAAGAGAAUUUUCUAGACCGAGCGAAAACGGCAGGAUCUCACUUCCUCUUCUGCAGCUUCACAGUCCUGCGGAUCAGAAGUCCAAACUGUCUCCACGGGCGAACAUCAGUGUAUCAGCCAUGCUGUGUCCCCACCACCUGCUGCGAUAGCCUGACAUAAGGAAGAUUCUGCUGGGCUAGAGGUCUUAGUUCCAAAGGGAGAAAUGCUUCCACUAGCAGCACAACAAUGAUUCCGCUGAACUCGACUGCCAUCUGGCCAUUUGGAGCUCCGUGUGCAAGUGAAUCAACAGGCCAGAAAGAGGCGGGUGGGGAGAGCUACUUUACAGAUUGAGUGGUUCUGCUUCUCUGAUUGAAUCUUGACUGGUCUGAUACCAGAGACGUUGGAGUUCUUGGUGCUGGAGACCUCAACCACCAGCCGGUGCCAGAUUCUUGACUUUGCCAGAGAAAGAAUUCAAGGAUGAGUCAGACUAGCCUAUCACAGAACUGAGGAAUUCUGGAGGAAUCUAAAAUUCUUCGGACUGGGGGACAAGGAUGUGUGGCGGGUUGGCCUCAGGAAGAAUCAACACUCACCCUUGUUGAGGCUCAAAGCUCCUGCCAGGAGAGUUUGAACCUUCUCUUCUGUAAGACCUGCUACAUCAAAAAUGCUUUCAAGCUUUGUGAGCCAGCACAAGCAGGGGGAAUGGCAGGGAAGAGGGAGAAGCAGACUUCCCGCUCAGCAAGGAGCUGAGGGAUCAGGACCUGAGCCGAAGGCAGACGCUUAACGGACUGAGCCACCCAGUUACAGCUGCCACGACAGAGUGUCCUACAGCAAAUACUGGACAGGGAAGAUGGGGAGGCCCAAGGUGGAAUAUACAAAUGGAAGACACUUCUCUGGUCCGGCAUUGCAGUAUGGUGGGUAACCUCUUUCCUCUUUGAGCAGGGAUCUCUUCCACACAGCCCUCAGUAUCCCAGGCUGUGUGCUGGACAGUGUUAGCUGCUUUGUGCUGCUCAAGAGUUUAUAGUGUCCCUGCCAGGGAGAAGACGUGGCUUCCCCACGUGUGGGGAGCUUCCUGAAAGCAGGCACCUUAAUUCCUCCCAGGACAGGCCUCUAGUGACGGACUGCCUUCCUGCCUGCAGAGCUGAGAAUGGGCAGAAAGUCCGUGCCUACAAAGUGCCUGGGGGUUCUCAGGACAACUAGAACCACAUGAAACCAGAAAGUGAACGUGCCUCCCCAGAGAGUAGCUUUCUUUGUUUUCCCAGUAAUGGAUAAGGGGUCUCUCAGUGACACUAUUCCUUCACAAAGGCCCAGACCAGGCUAAAACGAUUCUCACAUCACCAU